ACCUUCGUGGUGUAGUGGUCAGCACGCUCGGCGCGUAUUCGAGAGGUCCGUGGUUCGAGUCCCGGUGAGGGCA
rnacentral:tRNA from 1 species